CGUGCGCGCGUUCGCCGACUACCAACGCGUCCGCCGCUGCCUCCAGUACCGCAUCUACCUACUCGGUCACUGUUACUCCUCCCGCCCACUCGCGUGUCCGUCUUUACUUCACUCAGCGUCCACCGCGAUUUCGUCCAGGAGGAAGUAGAGGAUAGUCGGGGGGUGCCGUCGGUGGAACCAAGACAGGAACAUGCAUCGCUUUGGAUUCACACUGGCGGAAGACUGAGAUUUGGUCAUAGUACAGGCUCAUCUUCUAAGUUUGCAGUUCGUUUUUAGAUCUUUCUAUGUUGGUGCUGUUGCUGGGAGAGAGAACGAUCAUACUGAUGUGGAUAUAUAAUUUUCUGAAUCGUGGUGAAGCGUCACAGUGAGAGAUGCCUCCUCCUUCUUUGAGAUGGUAUGUUUGUCUUCGUUUCUGAAGUGAAGAUUCGUUAGUUAUUUGGGCUUUCUGUGAUCCUUCUUUGUGUUCACGAUUUGAUUUUGGGUUUUGUAUUGUUUAUAAAUUGGUUGAUGUUUAUAGGGUUCAGCUGGCAAAUUCUGUAGAGCAUGUCAGAAGCAUAACAUUGGCCUGAUUAUGAACAACUUGCAUAAUUUUGUUUAUCAUCAUUGGCUGGAUCUUACCUGCCGCCGCCCAUUAUUCCCUCCCAAGGCAGAAUUAUGAAGAACUUUCAUAGAUUUUUAUUCUGCAACGAACUCAAUAAUGAGACAGGAAAUCGUUCAUUCUUUCAAUGUCAGUUAGCUAGAUAUGCUAAAAAUUAUAUUUGUUCAGAUUUCACAACUAUAGAUUCAGUUGAUAGACAUUCAAGAUAUGUUGGCUUCCCCUUUCCGUUUGGAAAUUAUGACAUCAAUGACCCGGAGUACCAAUAAUCAUGGCUCUGUUUGUAUACGUACAAAUUCUCAUUCUUAUAAACCAUGGUUACAGCUUAGGUUAGUUUUUAUAGAAAUCUGUCAUCUCUACAUAUUUCUUCAGUUGAAGGCUUGGGACAUUAUUUAUGAAAAAUUUACUAUUUCUUCUGACUUUAGUUGUUCCUCUAUGAAAUUGUCUGACACUCUCAUAUCAGUCAGAUGAACUGCGUUUUGUUAAUCUAAACUACCAGGUUGGUGCUAGGAUCACUGAAGGCAACAUAGCAUCCCCAAUGGCUUCUACUUCAGGGCAAAAAUUGCUUUACUGCUGGUUGUCGUUGAUUAGUGUCCAACAUUUUUCCCAAGUUGAUAAAUACUGCCGAUCUAUUAAAUCAUGUGCAAAUAUUUGACUACUAUUCUUAGAAUGAGAAAUUGACAUGUCUUUGACAUUCAAAUCAAGCAAACUGAUAUUUCAAUUC